rnacentral:lncRNA from 1 species
UUAAAGAAAGCAAACAAAAACCAAAACAGAGAAAAACUGAAAACAAAAUAAAAAAAACAAAACAAAUAAAUGGUUCUCUCCUCUAUACUUAAAAUAUACAUUGUCCUCAAUGAAAAAACACAAAUAUAAAAUAAGAGUGAGAGAAAGGAAAGAACACACCCGAGGAGUCAAGGCAGAUAAGUGAUUGCAUAAGCAGUUGUCAUACCCCAAAAUUUGCCCGCUGGCAUUACAAGACCUUUUCAAGACCCUCCGACUUAUUUUGCAAGGCAUUGACAUUAAAGGAAUAGAAGCCCAGCUGACAACAGGCCCGAUCCAAAGGUGGCCCAAAACAGCUUGCUCGCUAGGCGAGCAAUUACUUCGCCUAGCGAACACUUCAUCAUGACACUCGCCCAGCGAAGCAUCAGAUCCAAAAAAAAAGCCCAGAAUAGCUUGCUCGCUAGGCGAGCAAUUCCUUCGCCUAGCGAAGCUUGCGAAUAUCAAAAGUUUUGGACCUCAUUCUGAGCCCAUUAGGUCACCACUACCAC